GACGAACGCUGGCGGCGUGCUUAACACAUGCAAGUCGAACGGAAAGGCCCUGCUUUUGUGGGGUGCUCGAGUGGCGAACGGGUGAGUAACACGUGAGUAACCUGCCCUUGACUUUGGGAUAACUUCAGGAAACUGGGGCUAAUACCGGAUAGGAGCUCCUGCUGCAUGGUGGGGGUUGGAAAGUUUCGGCGGUUGGGGAUGGACUCGCGGCUUAUCAGCUUGUUGGUGGGGUAGUGGCUUACCAAGGGUUCGACGGGUAGCCGGCCUGAGAGGGUGACCGGCGACAUUGGGACUGAGAUACGGCCCAGAAGCCUACGGGAGGCAGUAGUGGGGAAUAUGGCAGAGUGGGGGGAAGCCUGAUGCAGCAACGCCGCGAGCGGGAUGACGGCCUUCGGGUUGUAAACAGAUGUGGAAUGUGACGAAGAGUGAGUGACGGUAAUGGGUAAAGAAGCACCGGCUAACUACGUG
rnacentral:rRNA from 1 species